rnacentral:rRNA from 1 species
CUCCUACGGGGGCAGGCAGUGGGGAAUUUUGCGCAAUGGGGAAACCUGACGCAGCAACGCCGCGUGGAGGAUGAAGUCCCUUGGGACGUAAACUCCUUUCGAUCGGGACGAUUAUGACGGUACCGGAAGGAGAAGCCCCGGCUAACUUCGUGCCAGCAGCCGCGGUAAUUC